AGCUAAUAGAUACCCCGGUAGUCCACGCCCUAAACGAUGUCUACUAGUUGUUGGUGGAGUAAAAAUCCAUGAGUAAACGCAGCUAAACGCGUGAAGUAGACCGCCUGGGGAGUACGGUCGCAAGAUUAAAACUCAAAGGAAUUGACGGGGGCCCGGCACAAGCGGUGGAUUAUGUGGAUUAAAUUCGAUGCAACGCGAAAAACCUUACCUGGCCUUGACAUGCCACUAACGAAGCAGAGAUGCAUUAGGUGCCCGUAAGGGAAAGUGGACACAGGUGCUGCAUGGCUGUCGUCAGCUCGUGUCGUGAGAUGUUGGGUUAAGUCCCG
rnacentral:rRNA from 1 species